CGUAGGGUGCGAGCGUUAAUCGGAAUUACUGGGCGUAAAGCGUGCGCAGGCGGUUUUGUAAGACAGGCGUGAAAUCCCCGGGCUCAACCUGGGAACUGCGCUUGUGACUGCAAGGCUAGAGUACGGCAGAGGGGGUGGAAUUCCACGUGUAGCAGUGAAAUGCGUAGAGAUGUGGAGGAACACCAAUGGCGAAGGCAGCCCCCUGGGUCGAUACUGACGCUCAUGCACGAAAGCGUGGGUAGCAAACAGGAUUAGAUACCCUGGUAGUCCACGCCCUAAACGAUGCGAACUGGACGUUGGGAGCAAUCAGGCUCUCAGUGUCGAAGCUAACGCGUUAAGUUCGCCGCCUGGGGAGUACGGUCGCAAGACUG
rnacentral:rRNA from 1 species